GUAUCUGCAUUAGUUUGUUAACUAUUGAAUGGUUUUUUUUUCAUAAUUUUUCUUGGUAGAUGUCGUUAGAGUACAUAUUAUCUCCAAAUCAAUGGUUCUCUGGUACGAUUACUCAAUUUGCAAAUCAUCAAUAUCUUAAAGAUUUUGUAGAACUUAUAGAUGCAGACGAUCAAGCUUCUUUAUUGUGCAGUCUAUUCCAUAGAUUCAUUUGCGGAAGUAUGUAUAAAAAGCAAAAUGAAAAACUUAGCAGCAAAUUAAUACGUGGGUUCAUAAUGAGACUUGUAAACUACAGUAAAAAUAAUGAAGUUUGGGUACAAUUACACGAUCAUGUAGCCCGUUUUGGCCUGCAAGAAUUUUGUCUGAAUUACCAUGCCAUGAAGUUACUGUUGAUCUCAAUUUUAGUAAUACUCGACUUAGGGAUGAAUACUUCAAUGGUUUAAAGAGAAUUACUAUAAUAAGACUUUCUGAAGUAUUUUAUAUGUGUGUCAAGAUCGAGAAGAUAAAUUUAAGUUGGGAUUAGUUAUGUUUGUCGAAUGUGUUUUAAAACUAACUGGAAGAUACAUCGAUUUCAAAACCCUUGAAAUGGUUGAACAAUUUGAUGAGUUCCUUAUGUAUCCAUGGGGACAUAAAGCAUACUUUGUUUUAUUAAAUUCAUUACAAGAAUCACAACUCGAAAAAGUACGAAGAAUACAGCAAAAUGAUCAAACAGACUGUAAAUAUUCGUUGCAUGGUUAUCCGUUCGCAUUCCAGGUAUUUUUCUUUCAUUGUUUUCCCCAUUACAUAUAAUUUAGUCAUAUAAAAAUUUUAAUAUUUCUUUUUACUUAUAUUUCAUUAUUGGAUAUAUGAAACUUUUCCUCAAAUUGGACGACAAUUCGGUCAUCGUAUCCGUACAAGCUUAAAAUGUCUACGAAUGCAUAAAUUGCAGCCUCAAAUAGUAUUAACAGAACAUGUUAUUAGACAAUUUUUGACUGCUCAAAAAGUAUGUUUAUUUCAAUAUAUAAUUGAAUAUAUAUUUAAUUCUUUAUAAAUAAAUUUUAAAAAAUGCAUCUGAUAUUUUAUUACAAUUAUAGAUUACAGUAAUUGCAACGCUAAAUCCUACUGAAGCAGAAUUGGAAACAUUCUAGUAUACAAAUCUUUCGCUACCAAUUGACAACCAAUAUCAUACACUAGAUAACAUUGUCAAUGGUGAAUUCGACAAUGUAACACAACAAAUUUCAGCAGAUUACAUACAUACACAAGAAAGAACUAUCCAUACUUCAGAUGGAAUUGAAUCUACUUCUUCUGGUAGCUCAAACUAUGUAACUAAACAAGAUAUGGAACAAAUGUUCAAUAUAUACAGACAAGAUGUCUUUAGUUUCUAUGACAGCUUAAAAACACAGAUGAUUCAAGAAUCAACAAAGCAAAAAGCUCAAUAUCAUACAAUUCUUGAAAAGCAAGAAACUCUCUGCCAGAUAAUUCUUGACAAUCAGAAACCUUUUUUUUUAACAUCGACAAAAAGACCAACAAAACUACUUCCAGGGCAUACAAUCUAACAUGCAAUCUUAUGUGGAUACUAGUUUCGAUUUAACGAAGUCUUACAUUGAUGAACAAAAUUGAAAUAUGCAAAAUCAGUUAUCCAACUGGAAAUCACACAUGGAAACAACUAUAGCCUCUGUACAACGAGACGUGCCUCCUCAUUUAAGUCCUGAAUUCGAAAUCCCUUCAAUAUUUGAAGAUACAGAAAAUGUUGAAAGAUCGACGAAAGAAAAAAAAAGGUAAGCAAAAAUAGACACAAUCUCCAUCGACAACGCCAACUAAUACUUUAGAAGACUAUAACAUCAACAGAUACAAAAACAUUAUAGAAUGAAUAUCACAAAAUCCAUCAGAGUAAGCUAUUAAAUUUAACCUGUUAACUUAAAUAUUAUAAUUUAUAUUUUACUUAUUUGAUGACAAUUUAAUUUUUCUUAUACAGCGUAUACUGGAAAGAUGAAAUCGAAAAUCUAUACGAAAGACAGUCGCUGAUAAAUAUGAUAAAUCAAACGAAAGAUAUAAAUAUUGUGGUAAGUCAAUUUUAGUAAUCAUAAUUAAUUUUACUCCAUUAUUAAUUUAUCUAAUUUACAUUUUUUUUACUAGCACAUUGAUAUAGAAUUAAAGCUGUUGAGAAGGCUUAUUCACGAUGGAUCUCCCAUGCUUUCUAAAGAAUAUGCAAUCAUGGACCUUAGAUUGGAGAAUGAAUGUGUUCAUUGGUAUACGAUUAUAAAAGGAGGAGCUGCCCAGUGUACAAGUAAUUUGAAUGCAUUACAACAGUACAUAAAAGGAGAAUUACCUGUAUUUGCUCGUCUGUGAAUAACAUACAACUAUUUAUUGAUUCCAUCUGCAUAUCCAGGCAACACUUGGUUUCUUUUUCUUGUCGACUUUCAAAAGUGAAAAUUUCAUGUAUAUGAUUGCAGCCACAACAUUCAUACACCGGACGCAGUUAAAUUACGUGCAGAAUCAGUUUUGACUGUAGUACAAUCAUUAUUGGUAUUUACAUACAUUUUUUUCGGCUAACCAACUUUAAGAAAACAUAGAAAUAAGCAUAUGAAAUUGGAAAUCAUACCGCAUCUACCUUGUCAAAGUAAUGGGUAAGUAUCUCAACGAUUUACUGUAAUAUUUAAUUUUCUAUUUAAUUUAAUUUUACAUUUACAACAUUAACAUAAACUAACUUCAAAUUAUUUUUUCUAUAAGCUAAAUUCUGGAGUUUUCCUUCUCAAAUACAUUGAAUGCUUUGUUUUCGGAUAUUCAUUAGAAGCAGUUUCGUUAGAGAAGAUACGUUUAUACAGACGAAACAUUAUCACAGAUAUCUGUCACAAUGAAUAUUUUUUACGCCCAUGUUUGUCCUAAUCAUAAUAAAUUAUGAAAAUUCGG
rnacentral:lncRNA from 1 species